CCAUCAGACAAUUGAAAAGCCAAGGCAAGGGGAGACAGACUUACGGAGGGAGAGUGUGGAAGUUAUCAAAGAUGGGAAGAGUCUGCCUUCACUAUGUGGCCUUGGCACCCAGAGGGCUCCCACAGAAGGCUGCAGGCUGACUCAUGGUUUCUCUUGCUCUCGAAUGGGAUGGUGCCGGCCACAUGCGGUCCACCUGGAAGCAAGAGCCGGCUUUGUAGCCCUGCAGUCCAGAGACUCCCCAGCCCAGGGGCUGAUGUAUCCUGAGACUGGCUCAUUCAAGCAUGGGAGAAAAUCAUAGCCUGUUCAUCUCUGUCCUGAGCUUAGCCUGGGAACUGAAGACCUGACUGCCAUCUUGGAUGCCUGGCCAUGAUAUGACCUUUGCCUG
rnacentral:lncRNA from 1 species